GACGAACGCUGGCGGCGUGCUUAACACAUGCAAGUCGAACGGAAAGGCCCUGCUUUUGUGGGGUGCUCGAUUGGCGAACGGGUGAGUAACACGUGAGUAACCUGCCCUUGACUUUGGGAUAACUUCAGGAAACUGGGGCUAAUACCGGAUAGGAGCUCCUGCUGCAUGGUGGGGGUUGGAAAGUUUCGGCGGUUGGGGAUGGACUCGCGGCUUAUCAGCUUGUUGGUGGGGUAGUGGCUUACCAAGGCUUUGACGGGUAGCCGGCAUGAGAGGGUGACCGGCCACAUUGGGACUGAGAUACGGCCCAGACUCCUACGGGAGGCAGCAGUGGGGAAUAUUGCACAAUGGGCGGAAGCCUGAUGCAGCAACGCCGCGUGCGGGAUGACGGCCUUCGGGUUGUAAACCGCUUUCGCCUGUGACGAAGCGUGAGUGACGGUAAUGGGUAAAGAAGCACCGGCUAACUACGUG
rnacentral:rRNA from 1 species